CGGGGUGCAGCAGGCGCGAAAACUUUACAAUGCCGGCAACGGCGAUAAGGGAACCUCGAGUGCCAGGUUACAAAUCUGGCUGUCGUGAUGCCUAAAAAGCAUUGCAUAGCAAGGGCCGGGCAAGACCGGUGCCAGCCGCCGCGGUAACACCGGCGGCUCGAGUGGUAACCGUUAUUAUUGGGUCUAAAGGGUCUGUAGCCGGCCGGGUAAGUCUCUUGGGAAAUCUGGCAGCUUAACUGUCAGGCUUUCAGGAGAUACUGCCUGGCUCGAGGCCGGGAGAGGUGAGAGGUACUUCAGGGGUAGGGGUGAAAUCUUGUAAUCCUUGAAGGACCACCAGUGGCGAAGGCGUCUCACCAGAACGGACCUGACGGCAAGGGACGAAAGCUAGGGGCACGAACCGGAUUAGAUACCCGGGUAGUCCUAGCCGUAAACGAUACUCGCUAGGUGUCGGCCACGGUGCGACCGUGGUCGGUGCCGUAGGGAAGCCGUGAAGCGAGCCACCUGGGAAGUACGGCCGCAAGGCUGAAACUUAAAGGAAUUGGC
rnacentral:rRNA from 1 species